UACGUAGGGUGCAAGCGUUGUCCGGAAUUAUUGGGCGUAAAGAGCUCGUAGGCGGUCUGUCGCGUCGGCUGUGAAAACCCGGAGCUCAACUCCGGGCCUGCAGUCGAUACGGGCAGACUGGAGUUCGGCAGGGGAGACUGGAAUUCCUGGUGUAGCGGUGAAAUGCGUAGAUAUCGAGAGGAACACCUGCGGCGAAGGCGGGUUGCUGGGCUGACACUGACGCUGAGGCGCGAAAGCUAGGGGAGCGAACGGG
rnacentral:rRNA from 1 species